UAAUGCUACGUUGCUCAAUUGAUCAUUGAUGCAACCAUGGUAUAUAUUUGUACACCUUAUUUUGAGGUACAAAUAUAUACAUGGUUGCAACAACGAUCAAUUGAGCAACGUAGCAU
rnacentral:pre_miRNA from 1 species